AUGAGUAGUUUCUCCCCAGCGUUUCCCAAUCUUGUUUCGUAUAACAUUUUGGCUCAGGCUUAUGUGAAGAGCCCGCUGCUCCCACACUCUCCUUCCCCAAGUCUCAAAUGGAAACUUCGUUCAAACACUAUUUUGGCCGUUCUCAAGAACUUGGGAGCUGAUUUUUUCUGUCUACAGGAAGUUGAUGAAUUUGAAAGCUUUUACAAAGGGGAAUAUGCAGGACCUAGGAUAUUCUUCUAUUUAUAUUAAGAGAAGUGGACAGAAGCGUGAUGGGUGUGGGCUAUUUUACAAGCAUGACUGUGCAGAGUUGGUCUUAGAGGAAAAAAUUGAAUACAAUGAUCUUGUAAAGUCAGUUCCUGAUGGGAACUCUUCAAAUGAUGAUGAACACGCCAAUAUCCAGACAGUCCAGUCAGAUAAACAAAAGGAUGUGGCACCCAAAAAUGAAUCUAAAUCGAAUUCAGAAGAUCGUGGAGAUCUCAAUGACCCUCGUGUCAGACUAAAGCGUGAUUGUGUUGGAAUUAUGGCUGCAUUCAAACUCAAAGAUCGCUCUCAUCAUAUUGUUAUUGUGGCCAACACAUAUUUAUUGGGAUCCUGAUUGGGCUGAUGUCAAGCUUGCACAAGCUAAAUAUCUUCUAUCCCGGAUAGCAAAAUUUAAAACACUGAUAUCAGAUAGAUAUGAGUGCAUACCUGAAGUCAUUUUGGCUGGUGACUUCAAUUCUACGCCAGGAGAUAUGGUUUAUCAGUACCUUGUAUCAGGCAAUCCUUCAUCUAACCUGACUCCAGACUGUUUAGAGGAGUCUCCUAGUCCUAUUCCCUUAUGUAGUGUCUAUGCUUCUACAAGAGGAGAGCCACCAUUUACAAACUACACACCUGGCUUCACUGGAACACUUGACUAUAUAUUAUUUUCCCCUUCUGAUAACAUUAAACCCAUUAGUUUUCUUGAACUUCUAGACUCCGAUGCAGCUGAUAUUGUUGGUGGACUGCCAAACUUCAGUUAUCCAAGUGAUCAUCUACCAAUUGGUGCUGAAUUUGAAAUCAUCAAGGAAUAAAUGUUCUGGUAUGCGAGGUGUUAUUUUGAGUAAUCAGCUUUCAUGUUCCAUCUCAUCUCCCAUUUGUGAAGAUUAAAGCAAGGUUCUGGAAGCAAGUGUACAAUAAAUUGUCAUAAAUUCAACACAGGCACUUGGCAAGAAGGCCAACAGUUACCAAAAAGCAAACAUUAGAAGUUUUUGUUUUGUGACGAAAAUUUCAUUGAGUUUGAUUGAUUUAGCCCCCCAAAAAUUUGCAGCUGAGUCUUUCCGAAGAAAGAAGGUUGUUGUAUUUUCAGACUUGACAGUUUCAAAAUUUAUGUAAUUUUCUGAUUUUGGUGAACAUAUAUGUCAUUUUAGACAAUAUAUUGUUAUGCAUUAUUUUUUGAGAUAAAAAUUUCUGGGAUCAAGUAAAUGCCAUUAUUUAUUUCAAAGGAAAACUGAGGAAAAAAGCAUCUAUAUGCCAGUUUUCUGUUGAUGUUGAAACUAAAUGAUCAAUUUUGCCUA